rnacentral:misc_RNA from 1 species
GAUGAAGAACGCAGCGAAUUGCGAUAUGUAAUGUGAAUUGCAGAAUUCAGUGAAUCAUCGAAUCUUUGAACGCACAUUGCGCCCUUUGGUAUUCCUUAGGGCAUGCCUGUUCGAGCGUCAUUUGAAACCUCAAGCUCAGCUUGGUGUUGGGUGUCUGUCCCCGCCUCACCGCGGGGACUCGCCUCAAAAUCAUUGGCGGCCGGUACGUUGGCUUCGAGCGCAGCAGAAACGCGAACUCGAGGCCCGGCGGAUCGGCGACCAGAAGUCACUUCUUCACAGUUUGACCUCGGAUCAGGUAGGGAUACCCGCUGAACUUAAGCAUAUCAAUAAGCGGAGGA